UACGGAAGGCAGCAGUGGGGAAUAUUGCACAAUGGGCGAAAGCCUGAUGCAGCUAUGCCGCGUGUAUGAAGAAGGCCUUAGGGUUGUAAAGUACUUUCAUCGGGGAGGAAAAAACAAAACUAAUAAUUUUAUUUCUUGACGUUACCCGAAAAAGAAGCACCGGCUAACUCCGUGCCAGCAGCCGCGGUAAUACGGAGGGUGCUAGCGUUAAUCAGAAUUACUGGGCGUAAAGAGCACGUAGGUGGUUUUUUUAAGUCAGAUGUGAAAUCCCUGGGCUUAACCUAGGAACUGCAUUUUGAAACUGAAAUACUAGAGUAUCGUAGAGGGAGGUAGAAUUCUAGGUGUAGCGGUGAAAUGCGUAGAUAUCUGGAGGAAUACCUGUGGCGAAAGCGGCCUCCUAAACGAAUACUGACACUGAGGUGCGAAAAGCGUUGGGGAGCAAAACAGGGAUUAGAUACC
rnacentral:rRNA from 1 species